CUUUUUACCAAACAUUUGCCUUUGCUGGGAGCAAGGAAUCUUGUUCUCCCUGAUAAGGGUCUCUUAGAAGAAUCUCUAGGGCAGUGAAUUUUAAACUUUAAAGAAUUAUUAUUAACUUUCACAGUGGAGUGAUGUUUUCCAAAGAAAUCAUACACAAAUUUCUAGAUCUAUGGAAAAUGCAGGGUGGAGGUUCUGGAGAGCCUUUCUUAGUCCGGUUUUCCUGUGAUUUAGAGGAGGUUGUGCCCAGGUGAUGGCUGCAGAAUCCCAGCGUUCAUUGGAACACAGUUUGAAGCCACUAUAUUAGAGCUUGAUCUGUAGAGGAAUGAGGGCAUCUUACCAAGCAGGUCUUCUCCAUCCUAUCUGACAUCAUAAUGUAAGAAUCACAGGAAGAGAAAGAGAACAACAUUGGUAUACAUGUCCUAUGAUUCUCCUGGAAAUUGUAGCAGACAAUGAUUUCUGGUGACCAUGUACAGGCUUCUUUUCCAUUAGCUCCCCUACAAAUAUCACAUCUUGAAGAACAGAAGACUGAAACCACACAGAUCGCUCAGAUUGUUUGAAGAAAGCACUUUCAGAUGUGUUUGAAAGGCUGGCUUCUAGAUCUGGAUAAAACUCUGUGGGCUGUUGGGGCCUGUUGUUUGAGGUAACAUCCAGCCCCCAGAACAUUCUCCAGCAGCACCCACACUUUCCGGUCCUAGUGAAUAAACCUGGAACAGAGCUGAAAAUCUGAGCUGUUGCCACCUGGAUGGUGAAGGAUCUUCCCGUGAACUGUAUGUAGCCUGGCUCUGUUGCUGACUUCGAUGAGAGUGUAGGGAAGUCACUUAGCUUCUCUGCCUUCAAUUUUCUCAGGCAGAAACUGACAGAAACCACCUAGAUGAAGUGAAAUGUCAAAGUGAUCUGCACGGGACUGGGAAGAGGGCCAGGUGCCACAGCCUAACAAGAAAAAGAAAACUGCACAGGCUCAUACUGUCACCUCCUGGCAAAUGGGCAGAAUGAAAUUUAAGCUGAAACACUGAGAAGUUUAAUUACCAAAUGUGGGCCAAACCCUUUGUGAUUUUAUUAAUUGUCUUUUCUUCCCCAUACACAUAUGCUCUGCAACUAUACUGCCUUCACCAACCAAUAAUCGAAGUAAACCAUAUGAACCAUUAUAGAUGAAUCAUAUUAUAUAAAUAAGGAAAGAACCUCAACCAAAUCCCAGAGGAUGGAUUGAUUUUGUGGAACAGAAAUAUCUUUUUUGCUUACUUUUAAGUUCAUUUGAUGAAAAAAUACCACAUGGAAUCAUUAUUUUAAGCACAAAUUGCAUUUAAGAGGAAAUGCCUGGUAAGCCUUCUGGGGAUGUACAUAAGCUAAUUUCAUUCGACUAAAGGCUGUGAAAUGCAUUUCUGGGAAUUAUCGUGCAGAGACAUACUUCCAAUGCUUUAUAACAUGGACUUUACUGGGCUUGGAGAGAGAAAUGGCAUCCUAUUCACUGUACUUGUUAUUAAACUGAAGCUCCUCAAUGACCCAGGCUC